rnacentral:lncRNA from 1 species
UGGAGGAGGCGCGAGAGGCUUAGAAAGGCCUGUUUGUGAGUCUGCGUGCUGGAGAGGGGAGGGCUUGGUAGGAUCAGUGGAGGGGUCUUCCAGCAGACACCCUGACUUUAACAGGCCCCACCAAGGUUCAUUUCUGAUCCUCUGGCGAUCUCUACUGUCUCAAAUGAGAAUUGUCCAGAGACCGGUGAGGCCCAGGAGACACAAAUGUUUCAAGCAGCAGGUUUUCGUCGCCUCCCCCGGUGAUCACGGUCUACAGCUCCAGCCCCCAGCCCUGCGGGUCAUUGACUCUGACUCCCGCCGCUCACCCUCCAGCUCAUUGCGGCUCCCAGAGCCACUCGCGUGCCAGUUCCGCCCCAGAAGGAACCUUCCUUUCUCAUUAGGCGCCAUCUCCAAAUUCCUUGGGAUUCUGGUCUCUGCUUACCAAGCUGAAUCGUGAGUCACCAGCGGCGCACA